rnacentral:rRNA from 1 species
AGUGAACGCUGGCGGUAGGCCUAACACAUGCAAGUCGAACGGCAGCACAGUAAGAGCUUGCUCUUACGGGUGGCGAGUGGCGGACGGGUGAGGAAUACAUCGGAAUCUACUUUUUCGUGGGGGAUAACGUGGGGAAACUUACGCUAAUACCGCAUACGACCUACGGGUGAAAGCAGGGGAUCUUCGGACCUUGCGCGAUUGAAUGAGCCGAUGUCGGAUUAGCUAGUUGGCGGGGUAAAGGCCCACCAAGGCGACGAUCCGUAGCUGGUCUGAGAGGAUGAUCAGCCACACUGGAACUGAGACACGGUCCAGACUCCUACGGGAGGCAGCAGUGGGGAAUAUUGGACAAUGGGCGCAAGCCUGAUCCAGCCAUACCGCGUGGGUGAAGAAGGCCUUCGGGUUGUAAAGCCCUUUUGUUGGGAAAGAAAAGCGGCAGGUUAAUACCCCGCUGUUCUGACGGUACCCAAAGAAUAAGCACCGGCUAACUUCGUG